CCCCCGCCUGACCUGACAGCAGCGGAACCGAGGCUGAGCCGACAGAGUCUGGGGGCAGCGGGGCCCGGGGCAGGAGCAGGGCUGCCCUGGCUCCAUGAGGCCCCAGCCUCGGCACAGCACCACAGCCAGACCGGCCGCCCGGAGACGCAGCACGGGCGGGAGUGCGGCUGCGUCCGGGCUGCAGACGGCUCAUUUGUCUUGAUUAUCCCGGCCGUGGCUGCCGCUUGGCUUCCUGGGCCCCAGGAAGGCAAUCAGCCGGAGCAGCGGCUCCCUGGGCCGCCCGGGCGGCCGGGGGGAGGGGGCGUCCAAGGGCUGGGUCCAAGCAGGGCGUCCCCUGCUUCGUGGGCACUCCUGGGCCUGCAAGAGGGAGGUGCCCAGGCCUGAGACAGCCCGGCACAGGGGGCAGGGCCAGCAAGGGGCUGUGGGGUGCAGCGAGCCAGGGGCCUCCUCGCGGUUUCCUUGGCCACCCUCACCCCCCAGUCUCCCCUGCCCCAGCCCUGGACGGCCCCUCCCCCGGGGCCCCAGGUGGCCAAGGCCCCCCUCCUCCCAUUCAACUCAGACCCAGCCAGGUGCGGUUGCUAAGGGCAACGGAAGAGGGGCUUCCUCAGCCGCUUUUCCAGGUGAAGCUUGCUGCGUGCUGGGGAGGGGGUCUCUGCCCAGAGCCCGGAGGAGGGGCCGCCCCGGCGGAGGGGCCAGGCCUCUAGAAGGGAAGGGACGGGCGUUCCUUCUCCCAAAAGGCAGCUGCGACCAACACUUGGGGUCCCGGGGUCCCGUCUGCGCCAGGGCGGGUCCCACCCCUGCUCAGACUCUGCGUCCCUCUGGGUUCCUCGCUCUCUUUCGCCUCCUUCCGUGCGUUUCUGGAACGUUCAAGUCGCCUUGGCGGAAACCUGCUCGGGGUCCACUCCGAGCAGCAGCAGCCCCCACGAGUGGGGACACCCGGGGCCUGGGGUGCCAGGACGGGGGCCCGGCCUUGGACGGGGCUGGGCAGCAGCGUUCCCUCCCCAUCCUGUUCCUCCUGGAGCCACCGCGGGCAGAGGAGCUGGGGACGGCGCCAGACGCAGGCCAGGAGUGGCCCCCACGCCCGGCAGCCCGCCCUGCAGAGACAGCCUGGGGCCCCAGCCCCACAGCCCCCGGGCGCGUGCCCACACUCCCACAGCGACAGCCCUUUGGAAAUCCCCUAGACCUGGGGAGGGGUGUGGACCACGGCCCCCCAGAGCCCACACUGCAGAGGGGCUGCGGCUCAGUGCUUGUGCCCGGGGGCCAGGUCCCCAGUGGGUUGGGGGCUUCUGAGGGGUGAGGCCCAGGGAAGUCGUGAGGUCCCGGGGCGCUGGCUCCUGUGUCGGGGUGCAUCUCCCCCUCCUGCCCGAACUCCACUGCUGCUAGGUCUACCGUGGUUCAGGGGACGGGGCGGGGGAGGGCGUCAGACGCGGGCCCUGUGCACUCCGGGCCAGCAGGGUCCCGAGCCAGACGGGGGCCGGGAGCCUGCAGCCGAGCAGCCCCCAGAACACUGGUGCCCCUUCCACCGUGUGCCCGCCCACGGCCUCCAGCUGCGUCCCCAGGCCCAGGACCCUGCAGGACGGAGGCAGCAGUGGCGUGAGAGCACGCGUCCGGGCCCCCCAGGAAG
rnacentral:lncRNA from 1 species